UACGUAGGGUGCGAGCGUUAAUCGGAAUUACUGGGCGUAAAGCGUGCGCAGGCGGUUUCUUAAGCAAGAUGUGAAAUCCCCGGGCUUAACCUGGGAACUGCAUUUUGAACUGGGAGACUAGAGUGCGUCAGAGGGGGGUGGAAUUCCACGUGUAGCAGUGAAAUGCGUAGAGAUGUGGAGGAACACCGAUGGCGAAGGCAGCCCCCUGGGAUGACACUGACGCUCAUGCACGAAAGCGUGGGGAGCAAACAGG
rnacentral:ncRNA from 2 species